rnacentral:misc_RNA from 1 species
GAAAUGCGAUAAGUAAUGUGAAUUGCAGAAUUCCGUGAAUCAUCGAAUCUUUGAACGCACAUUGCGCCCUCUGGUAUUCCGGGGGGCAUGCCUGUCCGAGCGUCAUUGCGAACCCCUCAAGCACGGCUUGUGUGAUGGGCCCUCCCGCGUCUUGGUCGUCAAGACGGGCCCGAAAUGCAGUGGCGGCUUCGCGGUUAUCCGAUCAGCCAGAGCGUACGGGGACUUUCUCUCUGUCACACGCCCGCGGCGCGGACCGACGCCUGUCGACCUUCAUUCAUCGUUUUCUCGGUUGACCUCGGAUCAGGUAGGGAUACCCGCUGAACUUAAGC